rnacentral:rRNA from 1 species
GGCUCAGGAUGAACGCUAGCGGCAGGCUAACACAUGCAAGUCGAGGGGCGAGCGGGAUGUAGCAAUACAUUGCCGGCGACCGGCGGAUGGGUGCGUAACGCGUAUGCAACCUACCUUAGUACAGGGGAAUAACCUUUCGAAAGGGAGACUAACACCCCAUAGUAUUGAUUUAAGGCAUCUUAGAUUAAUUAAAUAUUUAUAGGUAUAAGAUGGGCAUGCGUAUGAUUAGCUAGUUGGUAAGGUAACGGCUUACCAAGGCGACGAUCAUUAGGGGUUCUGAGAGGAAGGUCCCCCACACUGGUACUGAGACACGGACCAGACUCCUACGGGAGGCAGCAGUGAGGAAUAUUGGUCAAUGGGCGCAAGCCUGAACCAGCCAUGCCGCGUGCCAGGAAGACGGCCUUAUGGGUUGUAAACUGCUUUUACAUAAGACUAACCGUAUAUUUGCGAAUAUACCUGAAUGUAUUAUGAGAAUAAGGAUCGGCUAACUCCGUGCCAGCCGCUGC